CCAUAUAGAACUUUGCAUUGAAUCACGAAACAUAGAACAGAAGAACAAGAGAUCAAAUGAAGAAAAGUAGGGAAAAAAUAAAUUUGAGAUGUCUUUUAAACUAGUAAUGAAAUUAAGAUUUGUAAUGAAAGAUUGAGGUGAGAAUGGGAUUUAAAGCCCUAGUCUCUAGUCUCUAGUCUCUAUCGUCAUUCUUCUGCACCCACAACUGGUAGAGGAAUGUUUAAUGUGGUCGAAGAUCGGAUAGGCUACGCACGUAAAGGGAGGCCGACUGCACGGGAAAUGCAUGCAUGCAGGUGGCAUCAAGAAAGCCCCCACUAACCUCCAUGCAUAUCUCACGUGAUGCCAGGAUGCAUGACUAGACAAGCGUGUGCCUGUUGGCGAGGUGCAUGAAAACACACCGGGUUGAUACUACUCAGAGAAGACACACGCUACGUUGGUCAAAAUUGAAUGUAAUUUUAAAAUACUAGUAAAGAAAACACAUGUUUAGAAACAAUUUUUUUUUUAGUUUUCAAUUCUUUAAGCUGUUUUUAAAAUUAGGGGUAAAAAGAUUGGGAAGUAAAAAUUGUGAAGGGUAAAGACAACAAUUUUUGAUAAAAACAUGUUUUUGAAAAGGAAAAGCAUACCAUCCGUAAAACCAAUCCCAUCUCUUUCAAUUUUUUAGUUAUGUGUAGCGUGCCCUUCAACCUCAAUGCCACAAAACACAUUGGCACCUGAAAAAACAAACAAAAAAAAUGGGACUAAUUAUGAAAUGAGCAGCGGAUUAAGAGGGUAAUGAGAAACAAAUGUGGCACCAAAUAUUAAAGUCACUUGCCCAACGGACUUCUUGACAGAAUAUGAAAGGAUUUGGAAUUGGAUGCUAUUCGGAUACACAGAGACCCAUUUGGAGGUUGAACCAAUUCGGCAAUGGAAUGUCUUUCCGCCCAAUGAGACUGCAAGGGACAAAUUUGGAAUAGUGAAUAUUUAUUGGUUUUGAAAAAUAAUAAUUUCCCUUUUUCCUUCUCUGUUUCUUAUCUUUCCGCUGGGGGUUUGCUCCGAUAGUUCAAGCAGAAUGACAUACCCAUCUCACCUUCAGAAUAAAAUUCCCCAUUGAUUCCAUAAUGAAUUUAUGACAGUUAGCGCUUCGUUUCCCGUGGAAAUCAAUUCUGCAACGAUGGUUUUCUCACCUCUAUCUUCCUCCAUAAACCCAGUAACCUCUUUCUCUUUCUUCCCUCCAUGUGCUAUGCAUUUAGCACAAUUUUUUUAAGC
rnacentral:lncRNA from 1 species